rnacentral:rRNA from 1 species
UUCCAGACUCCUACGGGAGGCAGCAGUGGGGAAUAUUGGACAAUGGGGGGAACCCUGAUCCAGCGACGCCGCGUGAGUGAAGAAGUAUUUCGGUAUGUAAAGCUCUAUCAGCAGGGAAGAAAGAAAUGACGGUACCUGACUAAGAAGCCCCGGCUAACUACGUGCCAGCAGCCGCGGUAAUACGUAGGGGGCAAGCGUUAUCCGGAUUUACUGGGUGUAAAGGGAGCGUAGACGGAAUUGCAAGUCUGAUGUGAAAAUCCGGGGCCCAACCCCGGAACUGCAUUGGAAACUGUAUUUCUAGAGUGUCGGAGAGGCAAGUGGAAUUCCUGGUGUAGCGGUGAAAUGCGUAGAUAUCAGGAGGAACACCAGUGGCGAAGGCGGCUUGCUGGACGAUGACUGACGUUGAGGCUCGAAAGCGUGGGGAGCAAACAGGAUUAGAUACCCGUGGACA